rnacentral:lncRNA from 1 species
GAGUGGUCAAUCCCAUCUUGACAUACGCACCGACAAGUCAAGUACUUGAUUACACCCAGCAGCCUUCCAUCACUGAAUUAAAAAUUCAGGUAGUCCAGUGCCUAAGUGCAGUGAGUUGCUUGCAAGUCACCGUGGCGGUCUCAGGUCGGAAGGAUAUUUAUACCCAUAUUCCAUCAGAGCAAAUCUUGACAGUAGAAAUAGCUCCGGAGUCGGUCACGUUCAGUGCAGAUGUACCCUUACAUCUCAUCUGUAUGCCAUACCAGUGUCUCCACACUCAUUGGUUAAGAAGACAAUCAACCUAUAUGGCACACAAUGACCUAUGCUUGAUAAAC